rnacentral:rRNA from 1 species
GAUGAACGCUGGCGGCGUGCUUAAUACAUGCAAGUCGAGCGGACAGACCCGGAUCUUGCUCCUCUGACGUUAGCAGCGGACGGGUGAGUAACGCGUGGAUAACCUACCUAUAAGACUGAGAUAACGUCAGGAAAGCGUAGUUCAUACCGGAUAAUAUAUUGAACCGCAUGGUUCAAAAGUUAAUUAGGGUUUUGCUGUCCCUUCUAGCUGGAUGCGCGCCGCAUUGGCUAGGGGGUAAGGUAACGGCUUCGCAAGGCAAGCAUGCGUGGCCGACCGGCGAGGGUGAUAGGCCACACUGGAACUGAGACAGGGUCCAGACUCCUACGGGAGGCCGCAGUAGGGAAUCUUCCGCAAUGGGCGAGAGCCUGGCGGAGCAACGCCGCGUGUGUGAUGAAGGUCUUCGGAUCGUAAAACUCUGUUAUUAGGGAAGAACAAAUGUGUAAGUAACUAUGCACGUCUUGACGGUACCUAAUCAGAAAGCCACGGCUAAAUACGUG